UACAGAGGUCCCAAGCGUUGUUCGGAUUCACUGGGCGUAAAGGGUGCGUAGGCGGUCGGGUAAGUCUGACGUGAAAUCUCCAAGCUCAACUUGGAAAUGGCGUCGGAUACUAUUCGGCUCGAGGAGUGGAGGGGAGACUGGAAUUCUCGGUGUAGCAGUGAAAUGCGUAGAUAUCGAGAGGAACACCUGCGGCGAAGGCGGGUUGCUGGGCUGACACUGACGUGAUGCGCGAAAGCCAGGGGAGCGAACGGG
rnacentral:rRNA from 1 species